AUGGAGUACUCGAGAACAUGUAAUAAUCAGAAGUACAAAGCCAAUAAUGCCUCAUUAUUGAGGAAGGUUGUAUUUAAGCCGAAAGUAAAUUGGUGGGUUUAAACGGGUCGAAUUUUAUGUGCAUAUGUUGCGUAAUGUAAUGCAAUUCGUUAUGGUUAAGACCUUGGGUAGGAAUUUUUAGUCAUUAUGUAAGGGGAACACUUCCCGGACCAUUAGGAACAAGUUUUAUAUGAUUCGGUUGUCGGUUAGUUAAUGAACGGAUUGUUUCAUGUUAGUGUAGGAAAUUUUAUAAGUAUAUGUGUAUAGGAACCCAAAGGGCAUGUGGGUUGAAUCAUAGAUUGUCUAUACUACGUAAAGUUGUGAAUGUGACAUUCCGGCAUAAACCUACAUGUAAAAGAAGCUUGUGUAUAUAUUCGUGAUUAAUUGAUUGUGCGUAGGAAGGAACAUUGGCAUGUAUGAAGGUACGCAUGUAUAUGUAAGUGUGUAUAUAUAUAUAUAUAUGUAUGUAUGUAUGUAUGAUAAUAAGUACGUAGGUGUGAAUGUAUGUGUGAAUGAAUGUUCAAUGCUUAAGACUUAUGCAUGAACGUUAUCAAAGUGUUCGAGUAUUCAUGGUUACUAAUGAUGUGCGUUGAGUUGGAAUGUAAGGUAGGUAUGGGAUCGUUGGCUUCAUGAAGAAAUGGAGCUGGAUUUGGAUAAGAGUAUUUAAGAAAGAGCUUGGACAAUUCCACGACUACUUUAUAGAAUGCUCUACGAAAUUCUAUUAUAUAGUUUAAUGUUGUAUGGUAUGUUAAUGACUAAUGGUUUGGUUGUACGUGGUGUCCACAGGUAUCGCUUGGGUUUUCUCUACAUUUAUUGAAGUGAAGCGGACUUAGUUCGAGUUGAGAGCAAGGAUUGUACGGGGUAGAAUGGUCACAUAGUGUAACUCAUAUAGAUUUUGAAGUAUUAAUGUUAUAAAUCCGUUUUAAUGAAUAUAUGGCUUUUCGCAUUUGAACCUUCAUGUGUUUGAUAUGUCUAUUAAAGAACGAAAUUUUUGG
rnacentral:lncRNA from 1 species